UGGUGGAGUGAUUUGUCUGGUUAAUUCCGUUAACGAACGAGACCGCGACCUGCUAAAUAGUUUGGCGAACUCUUCGGAGUUCGUACAGACUUCUUAGAGGGACUAUCGGUGUGUAGCCGAUGGAAGUUCGCGGCAAUAACA
rnacentral:rRNA from 1 species